rnacentral:rRNA from 1 species
GAUGGAGGGGGAUAACUACUGGAAACGGUAGCUAAUACCGCAUAACGUCGCAAGACCAAAGAGGGGGACCUUCGGGCCUCUUGCCAUCGGAUGUGCCCAGAUGGGAUUAGCUAGUAGGUGGGGUAACGGCUCACCUAGGCGACGAUCCCUAGCUGGUCUGAGAGGAUGACCAGCCACACUGGAACUGAGACACGGUCCAGACUCCUACGGGAGGCAGCAGUGGGGAAUAUUGCACAAUGGGCGCAAGCCUGAUGCAGCCAUGCCGCGUGUAUGAAGAAGGCCUUCGGGUUGUAAAGUACUUUCAGCGAGGAGGAAGGGUUGAGGUUAAUAACCUCAACAUUGACGUUACUCGCAGAAGAAGCACCGGCUAACUCCGUGCCAGCAGCCGCGGUAAUACGGAGGGUGCAAGCGUUAAUCGGAAUUACUGGGCGUAAAGCGCACGCAGGCGGUCUGUCAAGUCGGAUGUGAAAUCCCCGGGCUCAACCUGGGAACUGCAUCCGAAACUGGCAGGCUAGAGUCUUGUAGAGGGGGGUAGAAUUCCAGGUGUAGCGGUGAAAUGCGUAGAGAUCUGGAGGAAUACCGGUGGCGAAGCGGCCCCCUGGACAAAGACUGACGCUCAGGUGCGAAAGCGUGGGGAGCAAACAGGAUU